ensembl:lncRNA
GUGUGUGUGUGUGUGUGUGUGUGUGUGUGUGUGUGUGUGUGUGUGUGUAGGCCUCACAGGUGAGAGUGUGGUUUUGAUUAUGUUUUGUUAUUUUCUACGAGGGCCAUUGCCUUGUAAUGCUCCAGAGAUUUGAUAAGCAUAUGUAUUGUACCAGGCUUUCCUGUGCAAAAAAUCCCCAACCAAUGUGACUGCACUGUCCAGUUCUUUGCUACUGUCUAAAACUCAGUUUCUGAGAAUACAGUUUGAAUGUGACAUUCCUGAUGGAGCUAUUAUAAAUAUGUCAAUAACUGUUCCACUGAUUUCAUGGUUGUUUGAAAUGAUAUGGUACACUGAAUAAUUGAAUGCUGUAUGUUUUGGGCUUUGUAGUUAUCAUAUUAAUAAAUGUUAAAAUGGAAUCAUACGGGUUAUCACCUAGGCCCCUAGUUCAGUGCAUGCACAUCACCAAAGGUCUUAGUUUAUCUGUUUAAACGAUAUGGCAUAAUUAUCAUUAUACACAAUUCAUUUGGUGUAUGGUGUGGUGUAGAUAGCUAUUCCUCCAUCUCAACUUCUCCUCUGGGAUCCAACAUAGGCUUCUUUAACUGCAGUUGUCUUAUUUUGCCUUGGUUUUGUGCUAGCAACGACAAUGUACUCAUCAAUCUAUAUCCGUAUAUCUGUUAUGUCUUAAUAUUGCGUCUUCUAAUGGGCCUCUAGCCAGUGAAGGCCAUGCAUACAUACUACUCAUACUCAAGCCUAUUUUCAGUUUACUUGACCUCUUAACACACUGCCAGCGCUUAUUUAGGAUCAUACUUUACUUAGAGUCAGCCCACUACUUAGCCGAUUUUCCGUCUAUAAUUCUCUUCGGGGAUUUUACUUUGGAACAGUUUGUGGAACUAUUCAGCACUGAAGCCAGAAGCUGGCUGUCAAAUCUAAAUCCAGACGAAUCAAAUUCAGAUUGGUACCCUUGAUAGCCGAUUAGGAUUAUAGAUAGAUGGAAUUUGAUAGAUUUGUUCAAAGAAAUAUUUUUUUUCCACAUGUAUAUUUAUUUUACAGUUUUUAUUUGAAAAUGUGUGAUUGUGUAAUCUGUUAUCUUAUUCGUUGAUAUCUCUUCACUGUGUAAAUAAACGUCUUAUAAAUAAAA